GUUGCAGUUAAAAAGCUCGUAGUUGGAUUUCUGGUCGCGCCGCCCGGUUGGCCUCGAAAGGGGUACGUACUGGGGCGCGCGUGGCCAUCCUCGGGGGAAGGCCGUCUGGCAUUAGGUUGUCGGGCGGUCGACGCUCGUCGUUUACUGUGAACAAAUUAGAGUGUUCAAAGCAGGCUUAGGCCGUUGAAUACAUUAGCAUGGAAUAAUGAGAUAGGACUUUGGUGGUCUAUUUUGUUGGUUUGCACGCCGAAGUAAUGAUUAAUAGGGGCGGUUGGGGGUAUUCGUAUUCAAUUGUCAGAGGUGAAAUUCUUGGAUUUAUGGAAGACGAACUACUGCGAAAGCAUUUACCAAGGAUGUUUUCAUUAAUCAAGAACGAAAGUUAGGGGAUCGAAGAAGAUUAGAUACCUUCGUAGUCUUAACCAUAAACCAUGCCGACUCGGGAUGGGCGGUCGCUUGUUCA
rnacentral:rRNA from 1 species